CUGUUGAACGCCACUAGCACCACCAACUAAACCUAACCAUAACAAUUCCAUGAUGGCUCUAUUAAAUGGCAAUAUGGAAGAUAAAGAAAGUGGCUACUUCCACAUGGGCCAAUUUAAUCAGAGUGACUCCACCUUUCAAAGCAUAAUGAUGGAAGAAAUGGAAAAACUGUAAUCAGAGGUGUUUCAGUUAAAAGCUGAAGUGAAGCAGCUAAAAAAGGCUUUUAAGACUGACAAGGAAAAGGAAAAGGAAAAUUCACAAGAAGAAUCUGGUAAAUCAAAAAUUGAUGAUGUCGUUGCCGGAUUGGAGCCAAGAAAAGCCUUGAAUGCCAUUCUCCACCAUCUUUUCACAACCAAGGAGAUAAAAACACAAACCAUUAAGGGAGUGAAAACAUGGAAGUGUGGGAAUGAAACUGAGGUCCAAGCAUUGGAUCCUCAAAAAUUAACAACAAUAUAUGAUAUUAUGAGGAAAAAAUUCAAAGUCAGUGAAGACCAAACCAAGACUUGGAUUCGAAAUACGAAGAGAGGUCUAAAGUAUUAAUCACUCAAGUCAGUUAAGGCCAACUGAUAUCUACAGAAAUAAAUUUUAUGAAAAUCAAAUUUUAAACUGUUCCUGUUAAUUAAUUGAUUUCUGAUAAUUGAUAUCUGAAUCUUAAAAUGUCAAUUUAGUAAUCCUUUGAAUGAUCUUUUCCUAUUUGUUUUGUACUCCAAGUAAUUUUAUGUACACUCUGUAGUAACAACAAAAAGUAUUAAUAAUUAUGUAAAUUUUAAUUGUAUAUAAUAAAUUCAAUUCAAUUCCUAUCAUAUGGUGUUGAUGUUGUUUUGUGCAGUUAAGUGUAAUUUAAUGGAGUUAACCAAUGUGGAGCACAAGUGCUACCCGGCGCGGUCAGUGGUCUGUUAGAUUCGCACAUUCAACUGGAUUCCUUGUGUUCUUGGUCGACUGGGCAUUGUUCAGUUUUGUUAGUGUUUUAGUCAGUGUUUUUCUGAGCGUUACGACUCCUUGGAGGCUGUCUCCCCCCCACUUUCUUUCCACUGUUUUAUCAGUGUGAUGGGUGCCUGUUUUUCUCCUUCUGCGUCAGGGCUCAUGACUAUGUCGUCUAGAUUUACCAGCCAUGCGAGCAGUCUCAAUUUAGGAGCUGGCUGUCAAUAGUGGAAGCUCCUGGAUGUCUCAGGCACCCUUAACCUCCACUUUGCGAGGCAGUCGUUGAAGUGAUUAUAUUCUAUUUUUCCAAAGAAAUUCCUUGGAAUUUCCUAGGAAAUUCCUUAAGGGACCUAAUCAUGGUGAGACAAAAGUGAAUUGUGUAUCCUAAGAAAUUCCUAGGAAUUUCCUAGGAUUUUUUCCUGAUUUUAAUUUUUUUCACUCCUAGGAAUUUCCUAGGAAAUUUCUAGGAAUUCUUUGAAUUCUUCGUCCCAAUUUACUGUGAAAAUUCACACCUUAUUCCUAGGAAUUUCCUAGGAAUAUUCUUAGGAAAUUCCUAUGAAAAUCUUAAGAUUUCCUAGGAAUUUCCUAGGUCUUUUUGCAAGGGUAUGUUCUUAUUAGAGAAACUGUUAAAUAAGUUAGGUAUUCUGGUCUGUAUCUAGAGCCUUUCAAGAAAAUCUUUGUAAAAUAAAUUUGAAAAAUAUUAAAAUAAGAUGUGAGAUAAAUGAUAGUUUGUAUGCACCAUUUCAUGAAAAAAAAAAAAAGGACAAAGAGGCCCUAUAUUAUAACAUGCUUAAGAAUUCCAUUCUUACAAUGGGUACACACAUAUAUAUAUCAAGAGAAAUUAGUGAUUUGGAUCAUAUUUUUCAUUUGAAGUCCUAUAACACCCUUCUCAUGCCUGUUUAAUUUUUUUAUUUUUUUUAGAAGUUAAUGAGACAAACUACAGCCCUGGAGCUGGUCAACUGGGCCAACCAGCAUGAAAAGGGGAGAGCAGCAGAGGUUCUUGUCAUGGAGGCAAUGAGCAGUGAGGAAAGCUGCUACGAGGAUGACAAUGGAAAUACCUCAAAAGUAACAAAAUACUCUGUGCAUCACCUUCAGUGGGAAAGUAGGAGAAU
rnacentral:lncRNA from 1 species